rnacentral:lncRNA from 1 species
UUCCCAACCGCCAAAGGAGGUCAGAGGAGGAAGGGCAAGCAGGGCUCACAGCAGAGGACUGCUGCUUUCUGCUCCGGUUUCCAGCAGCUUCUCCUGUCCGGGACUGCAGGAAUGUGCUUGCUGGUGGGCACAGAAGCCCGGACCCCGGAGGGCAGGGUUCCCCUCUCAGCCAAGGUUGAUGGCGCUCCAGCAGGUCUUCAGCCUAGAAGACAGUGGAAUCACUCUUGCCUCCUGUCUUUCUCCCACCCUUCUGAGUCCAACACGGAAUGCUGUUGGCUCUGCCUUCAGACACGUUCCUGUUCUGACCGCUUCACAUCGUCUGCACCUCCUCCAGUCCCCGUCCAAGCCUCUUGGUUGGGAGUCGUGAAACCCUCUACCUUGUCUCAGUGCCUCCGACUCACCUCUCAGUGUGUGUUCCUGAUGGAGCCUGGGCCAUGGAUGCACCAGAUCGUGCCACCCCUCCAACCGCGGAUGUCUGACGACUUCCCGCCAAAGCCAGAGCAACAUCAGAAGUCCUUCAGCCCUUCCUGACUGCCAUGUCCUGCCCGUCCACGCCACGCAUCUUGGCCCAGCGGCUCCUCUCUUGGUCGUUAUGCUCAGGGCACCCUGGCCAUCUUCUCCUUCAACCCAGCAAGCACAUUCUUAUCUGGGGAUCUUUAUGGUUGCCCCUCCUUUUUCCAGGAAUGCUUCUCCCCUGGCGUAAACAUGGCUUUGUACUUUCUCCUGCUUCUUCAGGUGUCUACUAGAAUAUUACCUCAUCAGAGAGGACUUCUCUGAUGUUACCGUGUUCAACAACAUUCAGCUCACCCCUUAGGCUGCUUUCUUCUUAGCACAUAUCACGGAACAGAUUACAUUUAAUGUCAUUUUUUGUCUGUCUCCUCCCAUUUAGAAUGGAAGCAUCAUGAGAAGAUGCUUAGGACUUUGACCUGGCCUGAAACAGUAGGCUUGGUAGAUAGUUGGUAUUUAAUAAAUCCAUGAAUAAAUAUUGGGCUGCAUAGAUACUAUCUGAUCAUUAUGGGCAAGGGUCUGGGGCCCAGAAAGAGCAGAACCAGGUAGGGUGCCCCACCUGCCCCAGCUCCCGUUCCUUUGUCCUAGAGUUGUACCUAAGCUUCCCGUUAUGUGGGCAGCAUUCCUCCCGAUUCAUAUGUUCAUUCAUUGUUAUGUAACGUUAUUACACGGUGCUCCUUUCUGUGCUACAUGGGCUGCUGCCCACUACAUGAAUCACUGAAUAAAGCCGGUAAGAUCUUCAAAGUGGGCUCUGUUGAAUUUUGGGGUUUUUUUUGUUGUUGGUUUUUUUUUUUUUUUUUCCAUUUCAAGAGCAUGUGCUCCAGGAUACAUAGAAGUGAUGCCUGGCUUUUGUGACCCACACUUGGAAGUCACAUGGCA